rnacentral:rRNA from 1 species
UACGUAGGUGGCAAGCGUUGUCCGGAAUUAUUGGGCGUAAAGCGCGCGCAGGCGGUCCUUUAAGUCUGAUGUGAAAGCCCACGGCUCAACCGUGGAGGGUCAUUGGAAACUGGGGGGACUUGAGUGCAGGAGAGAAGAGUGGAAUUCCACGUGUAGCGGUGAAAUGCGUAGAGAUGUGGAGGAACACCAGUGGCGAAGGCGACUUUCUGGUCUGUAACUGACGCUGAGGCGCGAAAGCGUGGGGAGCAAACAGGG